rnacentral:rRNA from 1 species
CCCUUAGAUGUUCUGAACCGCACGCGUGUUACACUGAUGCAUUCAACGAGCUUUACCUUGGCCGAGAGGCCUGGGAAAUCUUUUUAGCAUGCAUCGUGAUAGGGAUUGAUUAUUGCAGUUAUUAAUCAUGAACGAGGAAUUCCUAGUAAACGCAUUUCAUCAAAAUGCAUUGAUUACGUCCCUGCCCUUUGUACACACCGCCCGUCGCACCUACCGAUUGAGUGGUCCGGUGAAGUCUCGAGAUUGUGGCAAUCUCCUUUAUUGGAGUUUGACUGCGAGAACUUGCCUAAACCUUAUCACUUAGAGGAAGGUGAAGUCGUAACA